CUCAGGAACAUUUUAUAUGGGGCAACAUUUCUAUUAAUAUUGGGAAGGUGUUUCUUGAACUGGUAAAUACCCUCAUUAGUAUCAUUUCCACAAUAAUUAUACCUUAUACAACUUUUGCUAUUCAAAUUCGGCUUAUGACCAUACUUGCAACCUGGAUCACCACUUCUAGAAGAACUUGGAGAAGAUAUUUCUAUAUAAUAAGGCUCCUUUUCUUCCUUUUAUGGUUUUACUAAAUUCAAAUAUUGUUUAAUAUAAUCCUUAAUAGCUUCAGGAACCUUUUUACAAGAAGUAACAUUCCCUUUAAUACCGGCUAGGUGUUUCUUGAAUCGAUUAAUACUCAAUUGGUAUCUCUUUCACAAAAAUUACACCAUAUAUACCUUUUAUUGUUUGGUUUCGGGUUAUAAGUUAUAACCAUACUUCCAACCCGGAUCACCACUUUUAAAAAACCAGAAAUAGAUGAAUCCAAAUGACAAGGCUUUUGUUCAUGCUUGUGUUUUCUCGAACUCGUAUAUUGCGUAAUCUCCUCUUUGAUAGCUUCAAGAACAUUUUUACAAGGGGGAACAUUUCCCCUACUUUCGGCAGAGUGUUUUUGAACCGGUUUAGACCCUUACCCCGUUAGUAUCUUUGUCACAAUAAUUACAUCUUAUACGAUUUUUGUCAUUUGGAUUUGGGUUAUAACCGUAAUUCCAAUCCGGAUCACCACUUCUAGAAGAACCCAAAGAAGACAUUGAAAUAACAAAUAAAAUCUCAAAUUUAAAGAUUUUUUAACUAAUAUUUUUACUCGAUCGUU
rnacentral:lncRNA from 1 species